rnacentral:rRNA from 1 species
UGGGGAAUAUUGGGCAAUGGGCGCAAGCCUGACCCAGCCACGCCGCGUGAGUGAUGAAGGCCUUCGGGUCGUAAAGCUCUGUGGGGAGAGACGAAAGCCCCUUGGCUAAUAUCCAAGGGUUUGACUGUAUCUCCUUAGCAAGCACCGGCUAACCACGUGCCAGCAGCCGCGGUAAUACGUGGGGUGCAAACGUUGCUCGGAAUCAUUGGGCGUAAAGCGCGCGUAGGCGGCCCAGCAAGUUGGAUGUGAAAGCCCUCGGCUUAACCGAGGAAGUGCAUUCAAAACUACUGGGCUUGAGUACAAAAGAGGAUCGCGGAAUUCCCGGUGUAGAGGUGAAAUUCGUAGAUAUCGGGAGGAACACCAGCGGCGAAGGCGGCGAUCUGGGUUGAUACUGACGCUGAGGUGCGAAAGCGUGGGGAGCAAACAG